CAUGGGGAGUGGGAGGAACUGGUGCUGGUCUUAUGCAGGGAAUGGGUACAGUGUGUACGCUAUGUAUUUGGCUUAGCAGACAAGAGGGAGAUGUACAUGCCUUACAUGAACAAUCUGUUCUUUAAAAAGCUAAAAGUUCUGUUCUAUGGAGGGCAAUAAAAUGAUAUGAUAUAUAAUACAAAGUAUUUAUCAAUUAUAUGUUUUUCAUGGGAGCAUUAAUGUAGUUUAAAGUAGAUUCAUGAGGUAAUUUUAUGAGGUAACCUGAGUUUAAAACCUGUAGCCUUCUUAAGGUUAAAAAACCCCUCUGCCAGGUAUACUUCAGAUCCUGCAUUAUUUUUCUUUUUUCAAUAAAGAGAAAACUUCCAUUACAUUUUCAAUGUGAAGAGAGGAUAUUUCAAUGGAGUUUGAUCUCUUUAUCUCACUGUCUUCAUAUCUAAAUUCAAUCAACUGAUCAAAGCAUAUUUUUAUAGUGAUUCUAAUACAAAGUGCCGGGCAAAGAAAAAACUGAAGAAAUCCAGGGAUUACUAUGGAAAUAACUGGAAAAUUGUUUCCAGACCUCAGGAAAAGAGCAGAGAUAAUUUCAUGGAAAACUAUGGAAGAAGCAAAGAGUAUAUUCCUUUGGAUUUAAAGGGAACAAGGCUGCAGAUAACAUUCCUGUUACCAUUCCAGAUGGAUCUAAGAUUUAUUAGAACUGUGAGGCCUGUCAUGUGACCUUCCUACAGCUGCUUUUUGGUGACGUUGAUGUCAGGGUCCUGGAGGUGGAGGCAACUGGAGGCUAUCCCAGCAUGCAGUGGGCAAGGAGCAGAAAUACACCCUGGAAAGGUCACCAAUCCAUUGCAGAGUUGUACGUAGUUUGCGAUUUAAUUGGAACUCUAAAGAGGAAGUAAAUUAGGGAUGAGUAGGAAUGGGGGACAUACGGAGAAUAGGAGACUAGGAAGUCACACUGUCCUCUCUUAAAUCAAUGAGGAUUACCACUAUCAUUGUUUAUAAGGCCAGGAUCAGUAUGGAGACAAUUUUCCCCUUUCCUGUUUCUCAAUUUUCUUAUUGGUUAAUAAGACGCGAUUGACAUUUGAUAGUUAAAAGCACGCCCCUAGUUAAGUUCGUGGUUGUAAAUAACAAGAAGUUUUAGCGGUGCUCUGAACCGUGUUCAUUAUUGUCUCUGUGCAUGUGUGUGCAUACCUGAAAGCUUUUUCAGCAAAUGUGAGUGGUCCUGGAUUCAGCCUGCUGGGAAACUGGCUUUCGGUCCCUGCUGUUGACGGCGUGGUGAAAGGGAUGACUGUGGCCGACUGAGCCGGUCCCCGCUGCCUUCUCACAGUGGGAGCUCGGAGAUGGAUGACCGGACACGAGCAGAACGCCCCAGCUUCCUUGGAUUGCAGUGAGACCUGGAGCCUACUUCUGUAUCUUUGGACUGAGGGAGGAAACCAGAGUACCCAUGCAAACGCAGGUAGAACAUGCAAACUCCAUCCGGCCGGAACUGGAACCUGGAACCUCCUUCUCGUGAAGCAACAGUGCUAACCGCUGUUCUACCCACACAAUUGAUAACCUGAUAAUAAUGAGUCACCUAUCAUUAAAACAUAAUACUCCCUUUUUUUCUUUGUGCU